UACAGAGGUCUCAAGCGUUGUUCGGAUUCAUUGGGCGUAAAGGGUGCGUAGGCGGCGCGGUAAGUCGGGUGUGAAAUCUCGGAGCUUAACUCCGAAACUGCAUUCGAUACUCGCCGUGCUUGAGGACUGGAGAGGAGACUGGAAUUUACGGUGUAGCGGUGAAAUGCGUAGAUAUCGUAAGGAAGACCAGUGGCGAAGGCGG
rnacentral:rRNA from 1 species